rnacentral:rRNA from 1 species
AAAUGAAUAGACGGGGGCCCGCACAAGCGGAGGAGCAUGUGGCUUAAUUCGAUGCAACGCGAAGAACCUUACCCGGGUUUGACAUGUGACUGCACGCUCUGUGAAAGCAGAGUUCCUUCGAGGGUGUCACACAGGUGCUGCAUGGCUGUCGUCAGUUCGUGCCGUGAGGUGUUUGGUUAAGUCCAGCAACGAACGCAACCCCUGUGUCCAGUUGCCAACGGGUAAUGCCGGGAACUCAGGACAGACUGCCCGUUUACACGGGAGGAAGGUGGGGACGACGUCAAGUCAGUAUGGCCCUUACAUCCGGGGCUGCACACGUGCUACAAUGGUCGGUACAAAGAGAGGCAAAUCCGCAAGGUGGAGCAAAUCUCUAAAACCGGCCCCAGUUCAGAUUGCGGUCUGCAACUCGACCGCAUGAAGUCGGAUUCGCUAGUAAUGGCGCAUCAGCUACGGCGCCGUGAAUACGUUCCCGGGCCUUGUACACACCGCCCGU